rnacentral:lncRNA from 1 species
GUGCAAGAAUAAGCAGUUUGCUAAUUGAUUGUGUAUUUUUCUGUCAUAUGCUUUCAAUCGUUCUGCAUUAAAAAAAUCGUACAUGUGAAUAGGAAGGAACCUUGACGUGGUUCAUGUGCUUUAAAACAAAUACCUUCCAGACAGAAACUUUUUGAUACCUUGUGUAAUACGUUGUUUACAUAGAAUGCGUUGAGGAUUUUGAGAGAUAAAGGGAAUAAGCAGUAUGAAAAAUAAAUGCUUAAGAAGAUGUAUAACAACGAUAAUGAAC